rnacentral:rRNA from 1 species
CCUACGGGUGGCAGCAGUGGGGAAUAUUGCACAAUGGGGGAAACCCUGAUGCAGCGACGCCGCGUGAGCGAUGAAGUAUUUCGGUAUGGUAAGCUCCUUCUGUAGGGAAGAAAAUGACGGUACCUGACUAAGAAGCCCCGGCUAACUACGUGCCAGCAGCCGCGGUUAUACGUAGGAUCCGAGCAUUAUCCGGGGUGACUGGGUGUUAAGAGUUGUGUAAGUGGCAUAAGAAGUAGAUAGGGAAAUGUGGUGGUUCAACCAUUCGGACUAUUAGCUAAACUGUUAAGCUCGAGACCGUUAGGGGUAACUGGAAUUUCUAGUGUAGGAGUGAAAUCCGUAGAUAUUAGAAGGAACACCGAUAGCGUAGGCAGGUUACUGGGACGGUUCUGACACUAAGGCACGAAAGCGUAGGGAGCAAACGGGAUUAGAUACCCUUGUAGUC